AGCAGAUGAAUAAGUAGCCUGGUCUGGAACAAGGCAACUUAAGAGAUCCGUUUGGAACGUCUACUGGAGUAUUUGGUACUAAGUGGCAGGCAACCCUAACUGAUGCUCUCUGGCAAACAUCAACCAUGAAGAGAUGUAUGGACCAUGACUCCUUGGCCAGCCACAUGCUUUGUGAAGUAGAAGGUCUCACGUUCAGUCCAUGGCACCUCCAGUUAGAAGGUGCGUGUUCAAUAGGUGAUGAAAUAUCCACCGGCUUGACAGCGGCUGCCAGCCAGAGUCGGUAACACUGAGUUACACAGACACAGCAUAACCUGGCGUACCUGUGUUCCUUCUUAAAACAAAUGCAUUAAUAAAACCUGCAGGCUUCAUAUCAGAUUUUGAGGGGAGUUACACAAUGCUGGCUGUGACUCAUUGCAGCUUUGAGAAAGUGCAUCCAAAUAAUGGGGCAUGGCUCCACUUCAUAAACCACAGAAAGCAGCAACAAUAUUUACUUAGGCAACGCAGAAAUGCCAACAGAUGGACAUGGAAAGGAAGAAGAGGGACAGAAAGCACAAAACCCUGGUUUUCUACAGAAUGGUUCAGCUGAUGGCACCGAGGGUUGAAUCACUAUCGCGAGAAAUGCCACGUUUUCCUCGUUGGAUGUAAUUAUCAUUUCAGUACCAUUCUUAACAAAUGGGUCCUAAGAUAGAAUCAAGCCUGAACUAUCUUUGGAGGCAACAAUGUGGAAGCUGAAGUUGUCCUACUUUGGGGACAUCCUGAAAAGGCAAGGUUCUCGGGAA